rnacentral:rRNA from 1 species
UGCAGUCGAACGAUGAUGCCCAGCUUGCUGGGCGGAUUAGUGGCGAACGGGUGAGUAAUACGUGAGUAACCUGCCCUUGACUCUGGGAUAAGCCUGGGAAACUGGGUCUAAUACUGGAUACUACCUCUUGCCGCAUGGUGGGUGGUGGAAAGGGUUUUACUGGUUUUGGAUGGGCUCACGGCCUAUCAGCUUGUUGGUGGGGUAAUGGCUCACCAAGGCGACGACGGGUAGCCGGCCUGAGAGGGUGACCGGCCACACUGGGACUGAGACACGGCCCAGACUCCUACGGGAGGCAGCAGUGGGGAAUAUUGCACAAUGGGCGGAAGCCUGAUGCAGCGACGCCGCGUGAGGGAUGACGGCCUUCGGGUUGUAAACCUCUUUCAGUAGGGAAGAAGCGAGAGUGACGGUACCUGCAGAAGAAGCGCCGGCUAACUACGUGCCAGCAGCCGCGGUAAUACGUAGGGCGCAAGCGUUGUCCGGAAUUAUUGGGCGUAAAGAGCUCGUAGGCGGUUUGUCGCGUCUGCUGUGAAAGCCCGGGGCUCAACCCCGGGUCUGCAGUGGGUACGGGCAGACUAGAGUGCAGUAGGGGAGACUGGAAUUCCUGGUGUAGCGGUGAAAUGCGCAGAUAUCAGGAGGAACACCGAUGGCGAAGGCAGGUCUCUGGGCUGUUACUGACGCUGAGGAGCGAAAGCAUGGGGAGCGAACAGGAUUAGAUACCCUGGUAGUCCAUGCCGUAAACGUUGGGCACUAGGUGUGGGGGACAUUCCACGUUUUCCGCGCCGUAGCUAACGCAUUAAGUGCCCCGCCUGGGGAGUACGGCCGCAAGGCU